rnacentral:rRNA from 1 species
UCCAAUCGAACCCGGAGAUAGCUGGUUCUCCCCGAAAUAGCUUUAGGGCUAGCGUCGAGGUAAGUUGCGUGAAGGUAGAGCACUGAAUAUGUGAUGGCCCCAUCUCGGGGUACUGAGCAUAAUCAAACUGCGAAUGUCACGAUAACAUGCUCGGCAGUCAGACAGCGGGUGAUAAGGUCCGUUGUCAAGAGGGAAACAGCCCAGACCAUCAGCUAAGGUCCCAAAAUGUAUGCUAAGUGGAAAAGGAUGUGGAGAUGUACAGACAACUAGGAGGUUGGCUCAGAAGCAGCCAUCCUUUAAAGAGUGCGUAACAGCUCACUAGUCGAAUGACUCUGCGCCGAUAAUUUACCGGGGCUAAGCAUACUACCGAAGCUAUGGAUCCCAAGGGAUGGUAGGGGAGCGUUCCAUGAACGGAGAAGUACGACCGAAAGGACGUGUGGAGAUCAUGGAAGAGAGAAUGCCGGUGUGAGUAGCGGAACGUGGGUGAGAAUCCCACGCACCGAAAACCCAAGGUUUCCAGAGGAAGGUUCGUCCGCUCUGGGUAAGUCGGGACCUAAGGCGAGGCCGAAAGGCGUAGUCGAUGGACAACAGGUAGAGAUUCCUGUACCCGUAUAUAUGUGAAGGAAUGACGGAGAGAGGAAGCUGCAGCCAGCGGCUGGAAGAGCUGGUGCAAGCGAGAUAUCGGGAUGGCAGGCAAAUCCACCAUCCGAAACGAGAAGGCGUGAAGCGUACGGAAAGCUACGGCGAGUACGGAAGGCAGUGGAGGAACUUCCAAGAAAAGUUUCUAACGUUAAGUAUAUAUGGCCCGUACCGAAAAUGGACACACAUGGGUGAGGAGAGAAUCCUAAGGUGAGCGAGAGAACUAUAGCUAAGGAACUCUGCAAAAUGACUCCGUAACUUAGGGAGAAGGAGUGCUCAUAGAGAUAUGAGCCGCAGUGAAACGGCCCAAGCGACUGUUUACCAAAAACACAGCUCUCUGCUAAGCCGCAAGGCGAAGUAUAGGGGGUGACGCCUGCCCGGUGCUGGAAGGUUAAGGGGAGGGGUUAACGCAAGUGAAGCCCUGAACUGAAGCCCCAGUAAACGGCGGCCGUAACUAUAACGGUCCUAAGGUAGCGAAAUUCCUUGUCAGGUAAGUUCUGACCCGCACGAAAGGCGUAACGAUUUGGGCGCUGUCUCAGCUGUAGACUCGGUGAAGUCUUAGUACCUGUGAAGAUGCAGGUUACCCGCGACUAGACGGAAAGACCCCAUGGAGCUUCACUGCAGGUUGAUAUUGGGAUUUGAUGCAGCAUGUACAGGAUAGGUAGGAGGCAAAGAGAUGGAUACGCCAGUAUUCAAGGAGCCGCUGUUGGGAUACUACCCCUGUUGUAUUGGAUUUCUAACCGGACGACGUAGAGCCGUUGACGGGACAGUGUCAGUCGGGCAGUUUGACUGGGGCGGUCGCCUCCCAAAGAGUAACGGAGGCGCCCAAAGAUACCCUCAGCUUGGAUGGAAACCAAGCGCAGAGUGCAAAGGCAAAAGGGUGUUUGACUGCGAGACCCACAAGUCGAGCAGGGACGAAAGUCGGGCUUAGUGAUCCGGCGGUGCUGAAUGGAAAGGCCGUCGCUCAACGGAUAAAAGCUACCCUGGGGAUAACAGGCUGAUCUCCCCCAA